UGUGAUGCCCACCAAAAAUAUGCAUGGGUGUAUAGUUGAGUGCAUAUUCAUUUCUCUAUAUGAAUAUGCAUAU
rnacentral:miRNA from 1 species